GGAAAAGACUACCGCUCACCUAGAAUGUGAAUGAGGAGAAGCUUUCCCAGAGCUGUCCAUUCUUAAUUUCCUGUGGUCGGCCUGUUAGGAGCAUUGCUGCUGAAAAGCCAAUACGAUCUGUGUUGCUGUUCCGAAACAAAUGCAUUUUUACCUGCUGGCUGAGGAAAUAUAACUUGCUGAAGGCAGUUACCUUUGUUCAAAGCCAACUGAGACAGCACCAGCCCUCAGUAAUUACAGCCAUACGAUUUCCAGGAGACUCCUCCUUCACCAGACCUGUCGUCUCAUGUCCCCAUUUGUAACGCUGUUCAUUAUAUUCAACCUGCUGCCGUCACUCUGGAGCUUUCAAAAGGUAUUCUGUGGGCUAUCGUGCUGCAGGAUGUGGAUAAUGAAACAGUUCGACGUGACUUGUAUUAUAAUGGGCUCACCUAACUUUCAUGCAGCUUGAAAAGUAGACUUAAUAAAAGCCAGAGUGAAAGGCAUUUUAUGUUUUUAAUAAGGAGUCUCAUAUGGUCUAACCUGCUGUUUUUCAUUGUGUGUCUCUUCUCACGGUCUCCUUUUGAGGUACCUGCCAGAAGAAGAACACUGAAUGUCUCUUAAUCUUAACGCUUUUUGGGAAAGUGCAGUGGUAAUCAACACUCAUGAUCAGUAAUUUCCAACUGCAGUAACAGUGACUUAAAGUUACAUCUUGGCUAUUAAAUGGGUCAUUAUUUAUUUGCUGGUAAAGAUGGUCCUCUUCAUCAAGCCCCAAAUAUCUGCACACUCCAGAACAAAGCAUCUGUUUAAUCACUGGUGAGCAAAUUUCUUAGUAUCUGAUUAUAAGCCUGUAAAACUUUCCUCUACCCUUGCAGUGCCUCAAGUUGGACUGUAAAGGGGCUAAAGGAGUUUGUGCUGCUCUGUCCUGAGGCAGGAUGGAGCCGUGCUCCAUGUAAAGCUUUACACAUUCCUGGAAGUGUAAUGAAUGGAGACAAGAUCAAACAACAGAACCUGAGACCUGAAUGUGACAAGAGCGCUGAAAAACAGCUUCCAGAACCAGAACUCUUUAUUGCAGUGCUGUAACCUUCUGUUUUUUAUUGACUAUACAGUCAUUGUUAAAGCUGCUCCAGGGAAGAUCCAUCUGUGCUGUUGCAGACCUGGAUGAGCAUGGGCACCACAGCAUAGAAGACCACCUUUGCAGAAGAGGCUGCAUGCUCACGAGUUCCCCCCGCUACGAGCUUUUUCCUCUUCCGUUCUUACCUGCCCUGUAGCUCGACCCCUUCCUGGAGGGAGGUUUCUUUCAUUGAAUGCAGACAGCAUCGUGCUGGAAUGGGUAAGGUGAUGUGCUCCUUUCACUGUGAUAUCAAAGACCAAGGCCGUAGCAGAAGGAGAAGAAGAGGAAAAGGAAAUGAAAAGGACAAAAAGACAUUGACCCAAUGUCACAAAACAUAGCUGGCAUGAUGUUUGUCAUGGGCACAACGCUGACACUGCCUGGCUUCUUACAUGAACUUCGCAGAGCACAGGGUCAUCUUGUCCCUAGG